GAUGAAGAACGUAGCGAAAUGCGAUAAGUAAUGUGAAUUGCAGAAUUCAGUGAUCAUCGAAUCUUUGAACGCACAUUGCGCCCCCUGGUAUUCCGGGGGGCAUGCCUGUCCGAGCGUCAUUACAACCCUCAAGCUCAGCUUGGUGUUGGGCCCCGCCGCCCCGGCGGGCCCUAAAGUCAGUGGCGGUGCCGUCCGGCUCCGAGCGUAGUAAUUCUUCUCGCUCUGGAGGUCCGGUCGUGUGCUCGCCAGCAACCCCCAAUUUUUUUCAGGUUGACCUCGGAUCAGGUAGGGAUACCCGCUGAACUUAAGCAUAUCAAUAAGCGGAGGA
rnacentral:misc_RNA from 1 species